UACGGGGGGGGGCAAGCGUUGUUCGGAAUUACUGGGCGUAAAGGGCUCGUAGGCGGCCAACUAAGUCAGACGUGAAAUCCCUCGGCUUAACCGGGGAACUGCGUCUGAUACUGGAUGGCUUGAGUUCGGGAGAGGGAUGCGGAAUUCCAGGUGUAGCGGUGGAAAUGCGUAGAUAUCUGGAGGAACACCGGUGGCGAAGGCGGCAUCCUGGACCGACACUGACGCUGAGAGCGAAAGCCAGGGGAGCAAACGGG
rnacentral:rRNA from 1 species